CCAAGGAGACAAGUGGCAGAGCCGGGAUUUGAACCUCUGUCUCCCAAGCCCGUGCUCUUGCCAAUAAGCCAUGAUUGUUGUUGUUAUGAUUGUUAAUAGUACUUACAGACCAGCCACUGGCUAGAGAGAUGAUCCUUUGUCUCAGGUAGGUCUUGUGUUUCAGGCAAGACCAGUGAGGUGAUCAGGUCCUGGGCCUGAAUUUUAACUGGACCUUUUCCAGGCCGUUGGCUCUCUAGCCUUGCCCCUCCUGCUGAGGAGUCGGAGAUCCCGCUGGAAGCCCAGCGUGGGGUGGUCAGCCACGGGGUCCUGCCUGGAUGGAUCGGGCUGGAGUCGGUCACUCAGUUAAUCACAUUUAUUGAGCACUUACUGUGUGCAGGGCACUGUACCAGGCGCUUGGGAGAGUUCAACAUAGCAGACGGGGUCAUUGUUUGUGGGCUCUGCGGAGGGAGGAUGUUCCAGGUCAGAGGCGAGAGGUUGGCGGCGAGAUAGACGAGACUGAGGCACUGUAAGAGGAGCGAAGCGUGCGGUUGUAGCAAGGUGAUUUGCCCAAGGUCAGAGUGGUUCCAGUCCAGUGAGAGGAGCGUGCCCAGGCUGGGCCUGGGAGAGGACAAGGGAAGGUGUUCUAUUUUCCUGUUUUCCUGGAGGUAGCCCUGGCAGGCCCGGCCUGGCUCGGCUGAGCUUCGGGCGGUACCGGCUCCCGGGUGGUCACAACCUCCCCCAAGAUGGGGGGGUCCCUUGCUGGGAGGAGGGCCCGAAACCCAUCCGGCUUUCCUGGGGUCCAAGGUGCUAGGAGUGGCGGGGGCCGGGCCCAGCCCAGACGCAAGUCCCAACCCGAGGACUUAGGACGGGAGCAGACGCGUCUGGCCUCGGACACAUCGCCCAGCCCCUUCUUACCGAGGGGCACCACGAGAAGACGGGUUGGGGACCGGGGUGGGGGACCCAGCUCUCUGCACCCCAUCGCGACUGUCCAAGGCAGCAUCUCCUGCCCUGCCACCUUGGAAGCUCCAACUGUUUCCAUCUGUCCUAGGUCGCGCCUCCGUCUCUUCCCUUAGCCCUCAGAGCAGCUGGAGUCACACGGGGAACCUGCGGAGGUCACCCAAUAGGUGGUUUCUCUCAUGGCUCGAUGGCAUCCGAUGAUGAGAGGAUACGGGGGAUUCACAAGGCACUUUUCAGGAGUGAUGAAAAAGAACUGGAAAAGCUGUUUUGGAGCCCAAGGAACCCAUUCCAGACUUCACCCAUCCCUUGAAGGAACAGUCAUAUUGCGAUUGGUUUCCGUGGUGCUGACUCCCACCGGCUCGGCUUCGGGACCCCCGGAGCCGGAAGGAUCUAUUACGUGAGUAACGUACACGUGUAUACACACACACCCCUUCGUUCUGAGAUCCUGAGGCUGAAAACUGGUUCUGGGAGUAACGGAGCCAAAAACUAGGAUACGUGGAAAAAGCCGGGAGCACCUGUUUUCUUCCUGCCCUCUAUUUUGGGCUCCGGGACCCCCCACACGUUAGACGGAGAAACCGAGGCACAGAGGACACUGCCAAGGCCUGCACAGACGGCAGCUCCCACUUUCUCACCUCUCAACCCCCGAAUGGUGUGCUCUUCUCCAGCGCAUCCACGGGCAUGAAAAGAAAUUAAAGGCAGCAACUAUCACUGAGCCUCAGUACAGACCGAGGGAGGGCCUAAACCUGAGCAGCUGAGCAUCCCAGACCUCCCUCCUUGGGGGAAAAUGCACUUCUCCUGCGUCCCUCCUCUGUCCCGGCCUGCCACUUUAAGCCUGAGGCUGCGCAGACCCAGAGCCAGCCGAGUCCAGGCCUCCCGGGUGGCGGGGCCGAAGGCGGGGCCCAGGCACUUCUCCAGCAUGUACAGCAGGGACUCGCCCACCGUCUGCGGAGGCAAGCGACACGGGCACAGCUUUUCUACUUAGGGCAAAUGUUUGGAUCCCGGCGCUCAGACAGACAGCAGCUUGCGAACUCUACGUGCCCGUGCGACGGACGGGCCUUGGAGAUGCCCCCCAACUGGGGCAGUUCACAGACACACGGGGAUGGAGUGAGGAUAGGGGGCCUCCCCAUUCCAGCUGGGACCGGCCUGGAAGAGUCCCAGACUGCUUCCACAUCUGACAGAUGAGGUGACUGAGGCACAGAGAAGCCAAGCGACUUGCCC